rnacentral:lncRNA from 1 species
CAAGAAUGUUAUAUUUGAUUUUGUUUGUACAUUCUCAUACUAUUUGUUAAAGUGUUGUUUUCAUUUGUUUUGAUUUGUAGAUGAGUAUGACACACCGAUAUAAAAUUUUGAAGAAAGAACGUGUUCCGGCCCAUGUGUCGCAGUUGAGCAACACAAAAUACAUAUCAGUUGUCCUCAACAAAUUGGAUCCACAACAAAAGCGUCAGUUGGAGGAGAGUUGUAUUGGACAUGCUACAAGGUUACCAGAGCUGAAACUAUCCGCUCAAUUAAUUCAUAAAAUGGUAAACAGAUCGGUGGUCUGCCCAAAGUAGUUUGAGGCUUGGUUCAAGGUGAACCAAAGGUUUGCACGAUUUGGACUGCCGGAGUUCGCACUAAUUACCGGCUUGAAAUGCGGUCCAGUGCCUAAACGUUCCGAAGUUGACAAAAUCCUAGAGAAAACCCGUCUAUAGGAUAGAAUGUUUGCUAAUAUGGACCAGAUAACUUGUAGCAAUCUAGAGAAAGUUUUUUUGAAAUGUGACAACCGUAACGAUCGUUACAAGCUUAGGUUGAAACUAAUUAUUGAAAGGGUAUUUAAUUCAAGAGAUCGAAAUGUAAGAAUACAUCCGACAACUCUCUCCAUCAUUGACGACUUGGAUUUCUUCAAUGCCUACCCACGGGGGACGGUAUGUUUUCAACUUCUCGUCAAAUCACUGGUACGUGGACGGGGAAGAAAGGCGGACAUGGUAAAAGUGAACGAUUGUGAUAGGAUGACUUACAUAUUGUACGGAUUCCCUCUUGCUGUCCAGGUAUACAUCUAAUUUAGUUCUUUUCCGUUCUUUGCAUCACACAUUGUUAUUUACCUCCAAAUAUGAUUAUUACUGUAAUAAAUGUCAUGCAGGUUUGGGCAUACGAGGCAAUCCCUGAGUUGGGAGCUCGAUUCUUGAGUAAGACUCGUGACGAUGUCCCGAGAAUGUUGCGGUGGUCUGGCAUAAAACAACCUCAUUCUCAAACAUAUUCAGAUUUUUUUUGAGAAUACAGAUGUAAGUGAUUUACAUACGUAAUCGCCUUACACUUUCACAAUAUAUAACAUUUCAUUUCGCCUAUUUUUCAUUUCCCUGUAAGUGCACUUAUGGGUAAUGCUGCGCGCAACUACUGUAGAAGAAUUGCAGUCGUACUUCGUCGAUCUAAUUCCGUUGGAAGACACAACUGACACCGUUUUAGAUGGUCUUGUUGCUCAAUCAAUAGAAGUACAAGCUUGUCCAGCUGAAGAUGAUGUCAUACGAAACGAUGACAACAACCAUAGACCAAAUAAAUCCCAGAGAGGCAACAAAGGUAGACCUUGACAUCGAGGUUUGCAUCACCUUGAAGGCAGAGAAGAAGAGCAUGGGAAUCCGAUUAUCGAAAUGCCAGUAUCUUUAGAUGAGAUAAGAGCUAUCUUGAACGAACAACGGGAGGCAUUUGAGAGCAAGAUGGACGAUUUAAGAGAAGAGAUGAACACAAGAUUCGUUAGUCUCCAAAAUGAUCUGGGAAGUCAUAAGUGUGGUUUGAGAAAUCAUGUCACUGAUGAGAUCAAUGUACUUCGACGAAGGUUUGAUAAAGUUGCUAUAGAAAUUGGGCAACACAACGUUGCUACUGAGUAUGGUGGAUUUGGUCAUGAUGAUUGCGGUGGAGACGAGCCCGACGUGAUGUUUUAACUCCUAAUAUUUCUGCAGACAGACAAGAUGUUGGAGAGGCAAUUGAACCAGUUGUUUGCAAUAUCCCUGAUGUGUCCAUAACGUCGGAAGGUAGGGUUGGAAUACUUGGGUCAGUAUACGUUGCUUGUGAUAUUGUGAAAGAGGCACCAACCAUUGUACCUACAGUUGGUGUGAUCAUUGAUGAUCAGUUGGUUCAUGAUAGCGUCAUUUUUAGACCUUCAAUGGUAGCUGAUCCACCUACACGUAGACCUUGAUUGUUGAGGCUGGAGAAGGCUAGUGCGAACACAAAGACGUCACACACUUGAUCUGGUCGCAAGAGGGGUAAGAAGGAUGCGUAGUCUGUGUAUUUUGGUUGACAGUACAUAAUGGUUUAUAUGUUAGUGGCAUGUUCAGAAGGUUGUAGUUGAAAAUAGUUUAUAACUUUAUUAUCUCUUAUAUUGGACUAGUAUUAUGCAUUAGUAAAUAUUCAGACUAAUCGACGUUGUUCAGAACAUCCAUUUUUUAGUCGAAAAACAUUAUAGACUGCAUUUGGUUAUAAUGACUUCGAUUGCUAUUUCAUGUCUUCGCAUCUUCGUUCUUAUUGUGUUGCCUUACCUUCUGUGAUGUAAUGACC